rnacentral:rRNA from 1 species
UACGUAGGGUGCAAGCGUUAUCCGGAAUUAUUGGGCGUAAAGAGCUCGUAGGUGGUUUGUCGCGUUGUUCAUGAAAUCUCACGGCUUAACUGUGAGCGUGCGGGCGAUACGGGCAGACUAGAGUACUGCAGGGGAGACUGGAAUUCCUGGUGUAGCGGUGAAAUGCGCAGAUAUCAGGAGGAACACCGAUGGCGAAGGCAGAUCUCUGGGCCUAACUGACGCUGAGGAGCGAAAGCAUGGGGGAGCGAACAGG